AGUGAACGCUGGCGGUAGGCCUAACACAUGCAAGUCGAACGGCAGCACAGUAAGAGCUUGCUCUUACGGGUGGCGAGUGGCGGACGGGUGAGGAAUACAUCGGAAUCUACUUUUUCGUGGGGGAUAACGUAGGGACACUUACGCUAAUACCGCAUACGACCUACGGGUGAAAGCAGUGGAUCUUCGGACCUUGCGCGAUUGAAUGAGCCGAUGUCGGAUUAGCUAGUUGGCGGGGUAAAGGCCCACCAAGGCGACGAUCCGUAGCUGGUCUGAGAGGAUGAUCAGCCACACUGGAACUGAGACACGGUCCAGACUCCUACGGGAGGCAGCAGUGGGGAAUAUUGGACAAUGGGCGCAAGCCUGACCCAGCCACACCGCGUGGGUGAAGAAGGCCUUCGGGUUGUAAAGCCCUUUUGUUGGGAAAGAAAAGAAGCAGGUUAAUACCCCGCUGUUCUGACGGUACCCAAAGAAUAAGCACCGGCUAACUUCGUG
rnacentral:rRNA from 1 species